rnacentral:misc_RNA from 1 species
CCGAGUUUUCAACUCCCCAAACCCCAUGUGAACUUAUACCAUUUACACCGUUGCUUCGGCGGGUUCUCGCCCCGGGCUUUACAACCCCGGAACCAGGCGGCCCGCCGGGGGACCCAAACUCUAGAUUUUAUUUUAGCAUGUCUGAGUGGAAUCAUUACAAAAUGAAUC